AGACGUAGGGGGCGAGCGUUAUCCGGAUUCACUGGGCGUAAAGGGCGCGUAGGCGGCUUAUCAAGUCAGGCGUGAAAUUCCCGGGCUCAACCUGGGGGCUGCGCUUGAUACUGAUGAGCUUGAAUGCGGGAGAGGAUAGUGGAAUUCCCAGUGUAGAGGUGAAAUUCGUAGAUAUUGGGAAGAACACCAGUGGCGAAGGCGGCUAUCUGGCCCGUAAUUGACGCUGAGGCGCGAAAGCGUGGGGAGCAAACAG
rnacentral:rRNA from 1 species